CCUACGGGUGGCUGCAGUGGGGAAUAUUGGACAAUGGGCGAAAGCCUGAUCCAGCCAUGCCGCGUGUGUGAAGAAGGCCUUCGGGUUGUAAAGCACUUUCAGUGGGGAAGAAAGCCUUGGGGCUAAUACCCUCGAGGAAGGACAUCACCCACAGAAGAAGCACCGGCUAACUCCGUGCCAGCAGCCGCGGUAAUACGGAGGGUGCGAGCGUUAAUCGGAAUUACUGGGCGUAAAGCGCGCGUAGGCGGUCUGAUAAGCCGGUUGUGAAAGCCCCGGGCUCAACCUGGGAACGGCAUCCGGAACUGUCAGGCUAGAGUGCAGGAGAGGAAGGUAGAAUUCCCGGUGUAGCGGUGAAAUGCGUAGAGAUCGGGAGGAAUACCAGUGGCGAAGGCGGCCUUCUGGACUGACACUGACGCUGAGGUGCGAAAGCGUGGGUAGCAAACAGGAUUAGGUACCCCUGUAGUC
rnacentral:rRNA from 1 species